GUUUGCCAGGCGCGGAGCGAUACACGAAAUCAGCUGAUUGUGUUUACUCUCGAGAAUUUGGGAAAAACUUCGACCCGUGUUUACCAUAACAUGGUGUCAGAAAGAACAGCAUAAUGAGACGAUCCAUCCAAGAGUGAAUCACCCUUAUUGAUUGACGAAAAGAAACGACAGCGGUAUUCAAGAGAGGAGCUAUUUGAUCAUGAACUGAGUUUUACAUUUGUGAAUCGGAUGCCCCUUUGAUGACGACCCCAUAAUGAAACGAGAUCAGGGACAUGAAGCGGAACGGUAAUUAAA